CCCUCUGGGGUGCACCAGGAUCUCCGGAAAAGGAUGCCCCGUGUACGGCGAAAAGUAAUCCAAAUAUUCAGCCAGAGACAAAGAGUGAUCAGGAGCAGGAGGUCGGAUCAUCGGUUAACAGCCUGCUUGGAGAAUACAACGACAGUGUUACAGAUCUCUACGCCAAAGUGGCUGGGGGAAUCCUUGGCGUUUCUCGACACUUCUAUGGGAACGAAUGGCACUUCGAACCCCUGGGAAGCACCCUCGGCUUCAAGAUGGAUCCGCUGGGGAAAUACGUGAAUACCCUGGUCAAGGGCCUCGUGCUCUAUAAGCUUUCGGAACCAACUUCCUCGACCUAUGUCAGCGAGAACUUCAAAAUUGUCCGCCAGGAAACGGGUUACCGGUGGGAAGACAAAUACGGGAAUUGGCGGGAGAGC
rnacentral:rRNA from 1 species